rnacentral:rRNA from 1 species
AGAGUUUGAUCCUGGCUCAGAAUCAACGCUGGCGGCGUGCCUCAGACAUGCAAGUCGAACGCGAAAGCUUCCCUCGGGAAGCAAGUAGAGUGGCGCACGGGUGAGUAACACGUAGGUAAUCUACCUUUGGAUGGGGAAUAACAACCGGAAACGGUUGCUAAUACCGCAUAAUGCAGCGGCACCUAAUGGUGACAGUUGUUAAAGCGGGGGAUCGAAAGACCUCGCGUCUAAAGAGGAGCCUGCGGCGGAUUAGCUAGUUGGUAAGGUAACGGCUUACCAAGGCGAUGAUCCGUAGCCGGCCUGAGAGGGCGGUCGGCCACACUGACACUGACAUACGGGUCAGACUCCUACGGGAGGCAGCAGUCGGGAAUUUUGGGCAAUGGGCGAAAGCCUGACCCAGCAACGCCGCGUGAAGGAUGAAAUCCCUCGGGAUGUAAACUUCGCAAGAACAGGAAGAAUAAGUAGGGGACAAUACCCCCUAUGAUGACGGUACUGUUUGUAAGCUCCGGCUAACUCCGUGCCAGCAGCCGCGGUUAAUACGGGGGGAGCAAGCGUUGUUCGGAUUUACUGGGCGUAAAGGGCGCGUAGGCGGCCACCGCAAGUCGAUUGUGAAAUCUCCGGGCUUAACCCGGAAAGGUCAACCGAUACUGCGGGGGCUAGAGUGCAGAAGGGGCAACUGGAAUUCUCGGUGUAGCG